AACGUGAAAUCGUUGAAGUGGAACCGGAGAGAGUUGACGUAGUAUGGUGGAUAAGUAUUGCAAGAAUCGCUUCAAACAAUGAAUGUGAUCGAGUAAUAUGUACGUCACCAAAGACUGCGCUGACAGCAUCGACUACACGCUCUGAACUGUGUUGACAUGUUGCCUAUUCUAGUAUAUAGAAUGGUGUCUUGUGUUACGUGGUGAAGUUUGUUGUUAUGUUGUUGAUGUUGAUAAUUAUGAUUAUACACCAAGUAUAAUUAUGUCAGUGUAAAAGUCAACCACCUCUCCGACCCGUCUUGAAACACGGACCGAGGAGUGUAACUUGUACGCGAGUCAUUGGGUGGAAAAACCUUAAGGCGAAACGAAAGUGAAGGCACGGUUAACCGGCUGACAUGGGAAACGUGCGGUAUUGUUAGCGAGACGUUACACCAUGGCCCUGUCUUGUCUGCAUGCAGAUGGGCAGCGGUAGAGCGUACAGGUUGCGACCCGAAAGAUGGUGAACUAUGCCUGAGCAGGACGAAGUCAGAGGAAACUCUGGUGGAAGUCCGUAUCGGUUCUGACGUGCAAAUCGAUCGAUAGACUUG
rnacentral:rRNA from 1 species